UACGUAGGGGGCUAGCGUUGUCCGGAAUCAUUGGGCGUAAAGCGCGUGUAGGCGGCCCGGUAAGUCCGCUGUGAAAGUCGGGGGCUCAACCCUCGAAUGCCGGUGGAUACUGUCGGGCUAGAGUACGGAAGAGGCGAGUGGAAUUCCUGGUGUAGCGGUGAAAUGCGCAGAUAUCAGGAGGAACACCCAUUGCGAAGGCAGCUCGCUGGGACGUUAACUGACGCUGGAGACGCGAAAGCGUGGGGAGCAAACAGG
rnacentral:rRNA from 1 species